rnacentral:rRNA from 1 species
UACGGAGGGUGCAAGCGUUAUCCGGAUUCACUGGGUUUAAAGGGUGCGUAGGCGGGCAGGUAAGCCAGUGGUGAAAUCUCCGGGCUUAACCCGGAACUGCCGUUGAUACUAUCUGUCUUGAAUAUCGUGGAGGUAAGCGGAAUAUGUCAUGUAGCGGUGAAAUGCUUAGAGAUGACAUAGAACACCAAUUGCGAAGGCAGCUGGCUACACAUAUAUUGACACUGAGGCACGAAAGCGUGGGGAUCAAACAGG